CGCUGACCCAGAUCUACCCGGCUAAGCUGCUCUCGGAUUCUUGACCCACAGAAACUUUUAUACGUGGGACGCCUACCACAGCAUGGCAUGCCAAGCAGUGCCAUGUCCGCACCCGGGAUCUGAACCAGCGAACCCAGGGCCGCCGAGAAGCGGAACGUGCGAACUUAACCGCUGCGUCACCGGGCCGGCCCCUGAAUACAUUCUUUCUUGCUCCAGAGUUAUAUGAAAAAUCAAUGGAUUAGUCACGAUGCCUUUUUUUUGAGGAAGAUCAGCCCUGAGCUAAUAUCUGCCACCAAUCCUCCACUUUUUGCUGAGGAAGACUGGCCCUGAGCUCACAUCCACGCCCAUCUUCCUCUACUUUGUAUGUGGG
rnacentral:lncRNA from 1 species